CCAACAAACUAAAAAUGGCUUGCGCACGAAAUUUAAAAGCUUUAAUCAUAUUUUGAGCUAAUAGAUGGAACAUUUGUUGGGUUUUUAAUUACUGUACAAAAUUUCAGACAAUUUGCUUUAGUUUAAGCCCUUGAACUAUUCACGCAAACUUACAUUUUUUCCUAAAAAUCAGCUAUUUGCAUGCUUAAUUAAUGCCUUUGCCUAAUUUGCAUAUGUCAGCAAUAUGCAAAUUAGGUAAAGGCAUUGAUUAAGCAUGCGAAAGGCCGAUUUUUUAGGAUAAAAUGAAUAGCUAAAGGG